UCCUAGUAAUCCAGGGCAAUGCCCUCUCUUCUGGGGUAAAAUUAAUUCCUCACAACACAAGGCACCAUCCACAAAUUUAGUAAAAUAUUUCUGAAGAUUCUGGUGCUUUACACGAGUCUGUGCUCUGAGCAUAUGUGGAAACUUUCUAUAAGAAAAUGUACAUUUCUGUUCAAUAAAGUGGUAAGCUUUCAUUAUAAUUUCCACUAUUACUGCCUUAAUAAAUAUAUCUUUCUCUCUUCAUUUCUUUUUGCUUACCAACCCUUUUUCCCUGUCCUGUACUUUCUAUUUUAAAUUAAUUCAGUUUUAAAGAAUGCUUAAUGUAAGAUACCUUAUGUUUUACUCUUUUUUUUUCUGUCAAAUAAAAACAAUUUAUGGCUAAUUUUUUCUUUGUGUCCAUAUGGCAUUUUAAUCUACUAAACACUGUCAGACAUUUUGCUGAGAUUUUAAAGUCUUAAAGUCUGAGGAAUGUUUUUUCCAUUUUUUUAAAGUGGAAAAACUGAGCCAUAAAUUUUUUUUUUAAGACUAAGCCAGGCAUAGGAUUAGUUUUCUUAUUCUGCCUAAAUUCUGCAAAUGGGGGUGUUUAAUUGCUGAAAACAAAUUUCAUUAUGUUCAAGCCUCAAUCAUUUUAUGAUCACAAGGUACCUGAAACAAAGAUCUUACAUUAAUAGAUAUAUAAGAUGCAUGUGUAGGGGGUGUAUUUGAUUGUAGAUGUAUUUUCUACCUCAUUACUUCAAUAUUCUGCUGUAGCAAAAUAUAUGAAAUGCUACCUUGAAUAGAAAUAGUUAAAUUUGGACACUAACAUUGCUCUUUCCUCGUUAUUGUUAUAUUCUGCACUGCUGUCUUAGGAUGUCAACCAUGGAUUAACUGAGUUGGCAGAUAUCCCUGUUACAAUCUGUACAUAUCCAUUUGUAUUUGAUGCCCAAGCAAAAACUACUCUGUUACAGACCGAUGCAGUCUUACAGAUGCAGAUGGCUAUUGAUCAGGCCCACAGGCAGAAUGUCUCCUCUCUUUUUCUCCCAGUGAUUGAAUCUGUGAAUCCCUGCUUAAUUCUAGUGGUGCGUAGAGAAAAUAUUGUAGGAGAUGCAAUGGAAGUCCUUAGGAAAACAAAGAACAUAGAUUACAAGAAGCCACUCAAGGUUAUAUUUGUUGGAGAAGAUGCUGUGGAUGCAGGAGGGGUGCGCAAAGAAUUUUUCUUGCUCAUCAUGAGGGAAUUAUUGGAUCCUAAAUACGGCAUGUUUAGGUAUUAUGAAGAUUCCAGGCUCAUUUGGUUUUCUGAUAAGGUAAAAUGUCCAACCAUCUAA
rnacentral:lncRNA from 1 species